rnacentral:rRNA from 1 species
AGAGUUUGAUCAUGGCUCAGGAUGAACGCUAGCGGCAGGCUUAAUACAUGCAAGUCGUGGGGCAGCAUGGUGUAGCAAUACACUGAUGGCGACCGGCAAACGGGUGCGGAACACGUACGCAACCUUCCUUUUAGUGGGGGAUAGCCCAGGGAAACUUGGAUUAAUACCCCUUAACAUUGUUGGACGGCAUCGUCUGAUAA